rnacentral:rRNA from 1 species
CGGGUGAGUAAUGUCUGGGAAACUGCCUGAUGGAGGGGGAUAACUGCUGGAAACGGUAGCUAAUACCGCAUAACGUCGCAAGACCAAAGAGGGGGACCUUCGGGGCCUCUUGCCAUCGGAUGUGCCCAGAUGGGAUUAGCUAGUAGGUGGGGUAACGGCUCACCUAGGCGACGAUCCCUAGCUGGUCUGAGAGGAUGGCCAGCCACACUGGAACUGAGACACGGUCCAG